UACGGAGGUCUCAAGCGUUGUUCGGAUUCAUUGGGCGUAAAGGGUGCGUAGGCGGCGCGGUAAGUCGGGUGUGAAAUCUUGGAGCUUAACUCCGAAACUGCAUUCGAUACUGCCGUGCUUGAGGACUGGAGAGGAGACUGGAAUUUACGGUGUAGCGGUGAAAUGCGUAGAUAUCGUAAGGAAGACCAGUGGCGAAGGCGGGUCUCUGGACAGUUCCUGACGCUGAGGCACGAAGGCCAGGGGAGCAAACGGG
rnacentral:rRNA from 1 species